rnacentral:rRNA from 1 species
GAGAUUGGGCUUGACAUCCCACGAACCUGGACUCCCGCAAGGGCGUCUGUAGAGGUGCUGCAUGGCUGUCGUCAGCUCGUGUCGUGAGAUGUUGGGUUAAGUCCCGCAACGAGCGCAACCCUUGUUCGCUGUUGCCAUCGGGUCAAGCCGGGCACUCUGCGGAGACUGCCGGUGACAAACCGGAGGAAGGUGGGGAUGACGUCAAGUCAGCAUGGCCUUUAUGUCCGGGGCUACACACGUGCUACAAUGGCCGGCACAAACCGUCGCAAUCCCGCAAGGGUGAGCUAAUCGGAAAAAACCGGUCUCAGUUCGGAUUGUAGGCUGCAACUCGCCUGCAUGAAGUCGGAAUCGCUAGUAAUCGCGGAUCAGCACGCCGCGGUGAAUACGUUCCCGGGCCUUGUACACACCGCCCGUCACAUCACGAAAGCUGGCUGUACUCGAGUCGCUGAGA